UACGGGGGGGGCAAGCGUUGUUCGGAAUUACUGGGCGUAAAGGGCUCGUAGGCGGCCAACUAAGUCAGACGUGAAAUCCCCCGGCUUAACCUGGGAACUGCGUCUGAUACUGGAAGGCUUGAGUAUGGGAGAGGGAUGUAGAAUUCCGGGUGUAGUGGUGAAAUGCGUAGAGAUCCGGAGGAAUACCAGUGGCGCAGGCGGCGCUCUGGGUCACACCUGACACUGAGAUACGAAGGCAUGGGGAGCGAACGGG
rnacentral:rRNA from 1 species